AUCAAAAUCCUAUCCCUCUUACAAAACAUGCAAAGUUAAAGGCGAGGGAAACAUAAAUACUAAAACAAUACAAAAAUAUCGUCUAACGGAAAAGAAAUAAGCUCUUCUGAACUUCGUCGUCCGUAACCUAAAAAAGAAAAGACCUCGAUAUGCUAAACAG